UUACACCGGUUUAAACUCAGAUCAUGUAAAAUUUUAAAGGUCGAACAGACCUAAUUUGAUAGCAUCUUCACCAACAAUUAAUUUUAAUCCAACAUCGAGGUCGCAAUCUUUUUAUUCGAUAAGAACUCUAAAAAAAAUUACGCUGUUAUCCCUAAGGUAAUUUUUUCUAAUAAUCUAAAUUUUAGGAUCAUAAAUUCAUAAAUAAAUGGAUUAAUAAAAAAAAAGUUAAUUCAAUUUUUUUGUCACCCCAACAAAAUAUUUUUUUAAUUAAAAUAAUUUAAAACCCGAAAUUUCCUUAAAUCAAAAAAAUAUAAAACUCUAUAGGGUCUUCUCGUCUUCUAUAUUUAUUUAAGCUUUUUAACUUAAAAAUAAAAUUCAAAUUAAUUUUUAUAGAGACAGUAAUUUUCUUAUCCAACCUUUCAUUCAAGCUUUCAAUUAAAAAACUAAUGAUUAUGCUACCUUUGCACGGUUAAUAUACCGCGGCCAUUUAACUUCUCAUUGGGCAGGCUARACCUAAAAUCAUAAUCAAUAGGCC
rnacentral:rRNA from 1 species